UACGAACUGUGCGACCGUUAUUCGGAAUCACUGGGCUUACAGGGUGCGUAGGCGGCUUAGCAAGUCAGGUGUGAAAGCCCCCGGCUCAACCGGGGAACUGCGCUUGAAACUGCUGAGCUCGAGUCAGCUAGAGGUACACGGAACUUCCAGUGGAGCGGUGAAAUGUGUUGAUAUUGGAAGGAACACCGGAGGCGAAAGCGGUGUACUGGGGCUGGUCUGACGCUGAGGCACGAAAGCCAGGGGAGCGAACGGG
rnacentral:rRNA from 1 species